GGGGAAGCUAGGAGCACUGCAGGAGCGAGAAGCCAAGAUGCUUUCCUGAGCCUGCCGCCUUCCCUCUGCAAAGCUGUCUUUCUAGAUAAUAGUCAGCACACUGGAGCAAUUAGCAAUGGAUGGAAGAAUCAGACUUCUGCUCUCAUGGAGCUCUCGUGCUGGCAGGGUCUCAUCCCCAUUGUAAACGCCAAGCUAGCUGGUCCAUGAACCUCUGGGGAUUCUCCUGUCGCCAUCACAGUAGACAUGCUGGAAUUACAGAUGUGUGCUGUAACUUCCAGCUUCACGUGAGCACUGGAGAGCUGAAUUCCCGUCCUCACCUUUACAUGGCAAGUGCUUUACCCUGGAACCAUCUCCCCAGCACAAGGGACUUGACUUUUAUUUCAACUGGAAACCAUGAAAGAACUUUCAGCAGGAGUAUCCUGACUGUGCUUGUGUUUACAAUCCAUCUCAGAUGUUCCCUUGUCCCCGCAGCUGUCCCACAGGAACCUGUCAUUUGUCAGCAGUGUGUCUUCAGCACUCUGUAAACAUUUCCUAGAUGGACACACUAAGCCACUCGAUUUCAAAUGCUGACCAAGGAACUGUGCUGAACUCCUGAUGACUCCUGACUCUUCUUACCUGUUCUUCAUCAAAAACUUGUUAGAAAUUUUAUUACAUAUGAAUAAAUUGCAAAGACGCCAUCUGGAAUGAGUAUAGAGUUCCUAUGUAAACAGUUUCAGAGUCUCUUUUAAAACAAGAAGAUGUUUCUUGGCUGAUUUGUUUAAAAUGCUGAGGCUUUAGUAUCUCUGUUUGAGAAACUCUGUCUGAGCCAGGAAUGACUUAUGGCUAACAGGGAACUAAAUCUGCUAUCUGUUUAAUUGUGAAACUGUUGAAUUAUGUAGCUUCCAGAUACUGUCUUUGAUAGCAUGCUGAAGUUGUAAAGUAUAAAAACUGGAUAUUUAUUUUUUAUAUAUUCACAUCAGCAUCAUAGGUCAUUUUUAAAGCGACUUUUCUUAUUUUGGGUCUGCUGGUCUUACCACUGGAAUUUUUCAAACCCUCUGAUCUCAAGUCUUCCAUUCCAAGUAGUAACUGUGAAGUUCAUCCUGCAUUGUGUCCACAGCCUGAGCAGCAACCAUUUUGCCUGCACUGCACACUCCAUGGCCCCUGGAGUACGGCUGUGCAGUGAACUAUCCUAUGGGGCUGGAGAGAUGCUCAGCAGUUAAGAGCACUUGCUGCUCCUGCAGAG